AUUGAACGCUGGCGGCAGGCCUAACACAUGCAAGUCGAGCGGAUGACGGGAGCUUGCUCCUUGAUUCAGCGGCGGGCAGGUGAGUAAUGCCUAGGAGUCUGCCUGGUAGUGGGGGACAACGUUUCGAAAGGAACGCUAAUACCGCCUACGUCCUACGGGAGAAAGCAGGGGACCUUCCGGCCUUGCGCUAUCAGAUGAGCCUAGGUCGGAUUAGCUAGUAGGUGAGGUAAUGGCUCACCUAGGCGACGAUCCGUAACUGGUCUGAGAGGAUGAUCAGUCACACUGGAACUGAGACACGGUCCAGACUCCUACGGGAGGCAGCAGUGGGGAAUAUUGGACAAUGGGCGAAAGCCUGAUCCAGCCAUGCCGCGUGUGUGAAGAAGGUCUUCGGAUUGUAAAGCACUUUAAGUUGGGAGGAAGGGCAGUAAGUUAAUACCUUGCUGUUCUGACGUUACCGACAGAAUAAGCACCGGCUAACUCUGUGCCAGCCGCCGCGGUAA
rnacentral:rRNA from 1 species